rnacentral:rRNA from 1 species
UACAGAGGGUGCGAGCGUUAAUCGGAAUGACUGGGCGUAAAGGGUGUGUAGGUGGGUUGUUAAGUGAGCUGUGAAAGCCCAGGGCUUAACCCUGGAACAGCAGCUCAUACUGAUGAUCUAGAGUAGGUGAGAGGAGUGUGGAAUUUCCGGUGUAGCGGUGAAAUGCGUAGAGAUCGGAAAGAACACCGGUGGCGAAGGCGGCACUCUGGUACCAUACUGACACUGAAACACGAAAGCGUGGGGAGCAAAC